rnacentral:tRNA from 1 species
GAGGAUGUAGCUCAGUGGUAGAGUGCCUGCUUAGCAUGCAUGAGGUCCUGGGUUCAAUCCCUGGUACCUCCA